CCUACGGGAGGCAGCAGUGAGGAAUAUUGGUCAAUGGACGAGAGUCUGAACCAGCCAAGUAGCGUGAAGGAUGACUGCCCUAUGGGUUGUAAACUUCUUUUAUACGGGAAUAAAACGAGUCACGUGUGGGGUUUUGCAUGUACCUUAUGAAUAAGGAUCGGCUAACUCCGUGCCAGCAGCCGCGGUAAUACGGAGGAUCCGAGCGUUAUCCGGAUUUAUUGGGUUUAAAGGGAGCGUAGGUGGGAUGUUAAGUCAGUUGUGAAAGUUUGCGGCUCAACCGUAGAAUUGCAAGUGAUACUGGCAGUCUUGAGUACAGUGGAGGUAGGCGGAAUUCGUGGUGUAGCGGUGAAAUGCUUAGAUAUCACGAAGAACCCCGAUUGCGAAGGCAGCUUACUAAACUGUAACUGACAUUGAUGCUCGAAAGUGUGGGUAUCAAACAGGAUUAGAUACCCCAGUAGUC
rnacentral:rRNA from 1 species